AUCAUGGCAAUGUGGGUGGUUUGCUGCCAGUGACGUUGCAAGAAGUCCAUUAAACCUUAUCAUUUAGAGGAAGGAGAAGUCAUAACAAGGUUUCCAUAGGUGAACAUGCGGAAGGAUCAUUGUUGAU
rnacentral:rRNA from 1 species